rnacentral:rRNA from 1 species
AUUGAACGCUGGCGGCAUGCCUUACACAUGCAAGUCGAACGGUAACAGGUCUUCGGAUGCUGACGAGUGGCGAACGGGUGAGUAAUACAUCGGAACGUGCCCGAUCGUGGGGGAUAACGAGGCGAAAGCUUUGCUAAUACCGCAUACGAUCUACGGAUGAAAGCGGGGGAUCUUCGGACCUCGCGCGGACGGAGCGGCCGAUGGCAGAUUAGGUAGUUGGUGGGAUAAAAGCUUACCAAGCCGACGAUCUGUAGCUGGUCUGAGAGGAUGAUCAGCCACACUGGGACUGAGACACGGCCCAGACUCCUACGGGAGGCAGCAGUGGGGAAUUUUGGACAAUGGGCGAGAGCCUGAUCCAGCCAUGCCGCGUGCAGGAUGAAGGCCUUUGGGUUGUAAACUGCUUUUGUACGGAACGAAAAGCCUCUUUCUAAUAAAGAGGGGUCAUGACGGUACCGUAAGAAUAAGCACCGGCUAACUACGUG